rnacentral:antisense_RNA from 1 species
CUUCACGGACCCCAGCCACAGGGGGCGGUCGGCGGGGCGGCCCUUGCCGUAGGUCGCGAGGAGGGCCUGGGCCUC